GGCGCUGGUUGUGGCACUCCAGCAAGGCUGGGCGGGGUUCGAGUCCCCGAGGCGCC
rnacentral:sRNA from 1 species